GACGAACCGUGCGAACGUUGUUCGGAUUCACUGGGCUUAAAGGGCGCGUAGGCGGGAUGGCAAGUCGGUCGUGAAAUCUCUCGGCUCAACCGAGAAACGUCGGCCGAUACUGCCGUUCUUGAGGGAUGCAGAGGAGACUGGAAUUCCCGGUGUAGCGGUGAAAUGCGUAGAUAUCGUAAGGAAGACCAGUGGCGAAGGCGGGUCUCUGGACAGUUCCUGACGCUGAGGCACGAAGGCCAGGGGAGCAAACGGG
rnacentral:rRNA from 1 species